rnacentral:ncRNA from 1 species
CAUAAAACGUUGAAGAGGAUAAGUAGUCGAAAGACAUUUACUUCACAGAGAGCCGAGGGAUGCUGAGAACCCGGCAGUAAAGCUUAAGAUGAACUCCCCUCUGAGUGCAGCGAUGAACAUAAGUAGUGGCUGCCGGUCAGAACAACGAUCUGAUCGUUACGAAAAAGACGCAAAUCGGUUGCGUCAUGAGCCAGCACUUUGGUGCUGGGAAUUAGGGUGGUACCGCGAAACCUUUUCGCCCCUUUU